rnacentral:rRNA from 1 species
AUUGAACGCUGGCGGCAGGCCUAACACAUGCAAGUCGAGCGGAUGAAGGGAGCUUGCUCCUGGAUUCAGCGGCGGACGGGUGAGUGAUGCCUAGGAAUCUGCCUUGUAGUGGGGGAUAACGUCCGGAAACGGGCGCUAAUACCGCAUACGUCCUGAGGGAGAAAGUGGGGGAUCUUCGGACCUCACGCUAUCAGAUGAGCCUAGGUCGGAUUAGCUAGUUGGUGGGGUAAAGGCCUACCAAGGCGACGAUCCGUAACUGGUCUGAGAGGAUGAUCAGUCACACUGGAACUGAGACACGGUCCAGACUCCUACGGGAGGCAGCAGUGGGGAAUAUUGGACAAUGGGCGAAAGCCUGAUCCAGCCAUGCCGCGUGUGUGAAGAAGGUCUUCGGAUUGUAAAGCACUUUAAGUUGGGAGGAAGGGCAGUAAGUUAAUACCUUGCUGUUUUGACGGUACCAACAGAAUAAGCACCGGCUAACUUCGUG